GUGCAUAUGCACAGAAAGUUCUAGAAGAACCCAGGAGGCAGUGUGAGCCUGAGAAGCAAAACCACAAAGAGAACAGAGGGAAACUCACGGACAAUGGUGGGAGAAGCAGAGCCAGUGUGCACAGAGCAGUAAAGGGCAGAACCAGGAGCCGACAAGAGUCUCGAAGCCUCAGGCGGGGCGCCAGGGAGGUCUGCAGCUGACAGUGAGGGGAUCAGUGCCACCCAGGUCCUCUAUGGGAUUCCUGAAUUGUUGUGGAGACUGGAGCAGCUGGGAUCCCUCGCUCUCAUGUUUUCAGUUCUCUGUGGGGCUUGAAGGUGUGGCUGCCGUGUGGAAAUGGACUCAGGUCAUUGACUAACAACAUCAACAAUGAAAUGAAUCUGAGAAAACAGGAAAUUGAGAGCAAGAGAAAAAAAAGUUAAUUAUACUGAUUUUGUAUAAGACCCCUUUGAACACAUUUUUAAAAAAUCAAAUAGAAGGUGCCCAGGUCCACUGUGCCUUGUGAAUAUUUGUCUUGUAUAUCCUAGAGAUCUACGCAUUCAUGUGGGAAUUGAAAAGGACCCACAUUUUACUAGAAGCAUCGUUCAUUUUUGCCUCAAAACAAUGCCCACAUGUCAGAAGAACUUUCACAAUUCACAGGAACAGUGACCUAAUUAACCAACCAUAAAAUUGCCAAAUCCCUACUUCUCAUUGUUUAAUAUGCUUAGAAAACCCAUUCAAAUUGUGAAUUAUCAAGUGAGCUUACACUGAUAAAUAGAUCCAAUAUUUAGGAAUUUUUAAAUCUUCCAUUCCUUUUUUUUUUUUGUCUUUUUAAAAAUAGAACAUUAGAAUAUGUCCUCCAGGUUUUAGAGAUGGGGGAGACAUGCUUCCCUUUAUUUCUCAGUAACUCAGCCAAAAAAAAUCUGGAGAGAAUGCAAAGACAGCUACUGGAAACUUUGAAAAGUAGAUGUGAGCCCAUCAGGGAAGAGCUAGAGAAUCUGAAAUCUACUCGAAAAAGUGAGUUUGAUACUUUGUGUUCCUAUCCUAACUCCACACAGCCUGAAACUUGGAAGUGAGCAUGAUGGAGUGGAUACAGUGAGAUGCAGAAGAAAUCCUCCAGUUUGGGCUGGAAGGGAAAAAAGAGACCCCUAAAACUCAGAGACAGUGGAAGAAAUUCCUGGUGUUUUUUUCUUCUCUUUUUCUCUGUUCUUCCACAUAGCAAUUUAGUAUUGACUACAGCAUCUCUGUUACAAUGAUAGCACCGAAAUGUUGUAACCAUAUGGCCUGCAAAGCCAAAAAUACUUAUCUGACCAUCUACAGGAAAAGUUUGCUGAUCUGGAUGAAAUAUUCUGAUACUAAAUAUUCCAUUUUGUGAGUAUACCACAACUUAACUUAAAAAUCUACCUCUAGUUGGCUAUUUAGGCUUUUUGUUUGUCUGUUUUCUGGCAUUAUAAAUUGUGCUGCUAUAAGCUGGUUUGUGUGUGUCUCUGGAUGGAUAUGAACAGUUUCCUAAGAUUGUGUACCCUGAAAAAUGCCAAGUCAUAGGGUAUGGCUGUAUUGCAGCUUUUCCAAUUUUUAAUUUAUCUUUUCACAUUUUCUACAGUAACUUUUGAUAAAUAAAAGUUCCCUCCAUACUCAAGUGAGCACAUUCCUGUAACAGAUCUCCUGUCGGUUCUCUUUCUCAGGAGAACCCUGACUAAUAUCUAUUUAUAUUCUCAUUUUUCACCAAAAAUAAACAAGGCUUUGGUGUUCUGAAUGGAAUUGUUUUGAAUUUUAGAUUAAUUUUGGGAAAAUGGCAUCAUUAAAUAUUGAUUGUUCUCAUUCAUAAAUAUGUGAUAUGUCUCCAAUUAUAGCUCUUCUUUUAUGCCUUUAACAAGUUUCUUUUUAUAAUUCAGUGAAUAUGGAGCCUGCAUAGCUUUUGGAAGGUUUUGUAGUUUUACUCUGUCUACUAAAAAGCAUAAAAAAAUUUGUAAGCCUCAAUGCAAUUAGAAAUUAAGAAUUAAGCUACUAAUGGUGCAACUCUGUAAGCACAAGGCAUAAAAAACAAGUGUUAUGGCCGAGCCACACAGUGAAAGAGGUAUGAAUCACUGCAAACACUGGUUGAAGGGAAGCUGUCCUCCAAACAGAAGCAUCCAUUUUUGUACUUUUUAAAAAUUUUUAUUUAUUUAUUUUUUGAGAUGGAGUCUUGCUCCAUUGCCCAGGCUGGAGUGCAGUGGCGCGAUCUCGGCUCACUGCAACCUCCGCCUCCCAGGUUCAUGCCAUUCUCCUGCUUCAGCCUCCCGAGUAGCUGAGACUACAGGUGCCCGCCACCAAGCCCAGCUAAUUUUUUGUAUUUUUAGUAGAGACAGGGUUUCACCGUGUUAGCCAGGAUGGUCUCGAUCUCUGGACCUCGUGAUCCACCUGCCUCAGCCUCCCAAAGUGCUGGGAUUACAGGCAUGAGCCACCGUGCCCUGGCCCCAUUUUUGUACUUUUAAGGGAGUGAGAAAUAAACUACUUUUGCUUUUAAGCCGUUAUAAAAUUUGGCAUGAAUUUGCCAAGCAACUCAACAUUAAUCUACUGUCCUUGAAUUAAUUAUAAAAGUUGCAGACAGUCUUGAACAUUUAACAACACAGACACAAUUAUUCGUGAGGAAUUAAAAUUGGGAAAAGUUCUAAUACUUUUUUUUUUGUAGAACAUUUUUACCAAUUUAAAAAAGUGAUCAUUAUAGAUUAACUUGAAAUCACAAUGCAGAAUUGUGUUAUGCCAUAGAUCACUCAAUAAUUUGUUGUCACAUAUAUGCUUCUCUGCCAAUCCUAGUAGACUUCACACCUUGUGCUAUAUUAUUAGUCUUCCUUUUAUGAGGCAGACAGUACCCAUUUCAUAAAAUAUGAAGACUAUAGCUUCGGGCCAGAGGAUUUGAAUUUUCAUACUAGAGGUUAUAAUAUGUGAUAUCAUGAGCUUGUUUUUAUUGUCCUAGGAGGCUGAUAUUCCUAAUCUAUUCAUAAGGAUGGCAUAUCUACCCAGUGGGCCUGCUGGGACUCCAGUUACCCGAUGCACAUACAUUGCUUGGUGUGGCAGUUUCGUGUGCAUUUUUGGUGAUGAUGCUCCACGGAACAUCUGCAGAUGUGCUGUCAAUUUGGACAGCUCUGACUACCGAGUGAAUGGGAAGUACUAACGAGAACUGUCUGCUUGGGAACUCCAUGAAGUUCGUGGCUUUUGUGAUUGAAAUAGCAUCAAUAAAAGGUUGACACUGUGGAACAACACAAGCCUGCAUGGACCUGGUUAUCUCUGACCUCGCACCACUCAUGAGACCAUACCUGAGCCCUACUCCACUUUGGCAGAACUGUUGCAUGGCCUCUCUUCAUAUAAUACCUCUCCGUACACCGUACACCGCAGCUCAAAGAAAGGAUAUAUGCUCCCUGUGAAGACUAAUGGAACUGUCCCUCCUGAUCCUCCUACAGACUUCCUCUGGCCUAAUGGGUGCACCAUUGCAUUAUAUCUGCCAUCUAUACACACAUAUACCUUUCAACCCUGCACUCUCUGAGAUGACUGGACUCAUGCCUAAAUAACUGAUGCUGUCCCUAGUGUAAGGAAGCUGCCUGACGAGGAGCUGUACGGAAAUAAGAGUAAUUCAGUGAUGGGGUCCAAGCAUCCUGAAUAUAAGCGGUCCAUGUCAAGAAAGAGCCAAAGGGCGUCCUCAGGACAUGGAAGAGGGGCAUUCCAGGCUGGCAGCUGGGGAGGCCCAGAGAGCCCUGGAGAAGAUCUGAAGUCCAUUGCAGAGCUUUCUUUAAGACUACUGAAUUGUACAGAAGAAGCAGAAAUGAAAAAAAAAUUAAAAAUAUAGAAAUGAUGUAUUUUAAUGAGAUUUAAACAUCUAGGGGAGAGUUUGGGGUGGGAAUGCUGAUAAGUUCAUAGAAAAGUAAGCAAAUGAAAACAAGACAAAAAUAAUAAAAGCAAAAAGGAAAAGUAAUUGCACUGUGCUAGUAGAUUCAGCUCUGAAUAAUAUUUCAUAAUAGUAAUAUGUAAACAGUAAAUACUGAUUUAAACUAAAAUGUUAUAAUUAUACUGAGAGUAUUGAAGAUGAGGAAAUACUGUGUGUGUGUGUGUGUGUGUGUGUGUGUGUGUGUGUGUGUGUGUGUGUGGUGUAUUGAAAGCAACAGGAACAAGAGAUAAAAUCUCUUCUCAUAAUGUCAAAAACUGAAAAAAUGAAGAAGUGGCAAUAUGAUUAUCUAUCUAGAAAUAUAAAAAUAGAAACCAAAACAAACACUUCAAAAUGUCAAAGGCUCUGUUGAAGAGGAUUUGGGAAGGUGUUGGAGAGUAC
rnacentral:lncRNA from 1 species